rnacentral:lncRNA from 8 species
AUGGAGGAGGAGUGGAGGAGAGUCCUGCAGACUGCUGAGGAAACUCUUACCAAAGCUGAGAUGCAGAGUGCUAUUGAAGGCCAGCUGAGAGACUUGGAAACCCAGAAGGAGAACUCCAGGGCCUGGAUCAAAGGCCAACAUCAACGCUUACUUUCUUUGGGCAGCCAGGCCAAGACAGAGAACAGAAUACAAACUGCACAGGCCGUCCUGAGUUCCAGACAAGAGGGAGACUCUAAGCUGCAGGACUUGAGGACACGAUGCCAAAGUCUGUGUGAACAUCAGGACCUGGAGGAGAACAGGAGACGAGAGGUUCAGCAGACAGUCACAGACAUGGAGGAGGAGUGGGGAGACGUUCUUAAGGCUGCAAAGGAGGUGUUGGAUAAGGCCGAGGUUCAGAGUGUCAUAGAGAGGGAAAUUAUUGAAUAUUUUACCCAGAAGGGAAGCAUUCAGGCCUGGGUCAGAGACCACAAACAACGCCUACACUCUCUGGGCAGCCAGAGCCAGACUGAUGACAGAAUAAACGUAGCACAGGUAAGUUUAUAGCUACUUGUGCCUAAAAAACGUCAGAUGUCAAGUCAGUAACACAUAGUCAAGUCAGUAACACUUCCAACAAGGUCCGAUCUAGCUGAGGCCCUAAGGCACUACUCUUUUUCUAUCUCUCUAUCCACAGGCUGUCCUGAAUUCCAGACCUGAGGGAGACUCUAAGCUGCAGGACUUGAGGAGACGAGGUCAGAGUCUGUGUGAACAUCAGGACCUGGAGGAGAGCAGGAGACGAGAGGUUCAGCAGACAGUCACAGACAUGGAGGAGGAGUGGAGAAGUGUCCUGCAGACUGCUGAGGAUACUAGGCGUCAGGCCCAGGUGUGGUAUUCUCUCUCCAGGCAGCUAGAGGCCUUCCAGGCCCUGGAGGAGAGCAGCAGAGACUGGUUCAAACUGCAGCAGCAGAACACACACUCCCUGGGAACAGGCACCCGGGGCAGCAAGGAAGAGAUCCAGGACAGGCUGCAGAGAGCAAAGGUGCGCGCUACACUACACCGCAGGAUCUUUUUAUUGUCACAAUUGAUUGACUGAUUAAAAAUAUGAAAAUGUUAAGAUUGCAAAGCCAAUUUAUGGCCAAAUCUUCAAGCAGUUUAUACUAUUUACUGUAGUCAGACCAUUCCUUGUAUAUUCUGUUGCAUUAAAGGCCCAGUGCAGUCAACAUUCAGUUUUUCCUGUGUUUUGCAUCAUUUACAACAGCUGAUAAAAUAUCACUGUAAAAGUGUGAAAACAUUUGAUCUGUGUUAUUUCCUGAUAGUUGCUGGUUGAAAUACAAUAUACACAGGACCUUCUAAUCAGCAGGUUUUUCAAUGGUGGUGUUUCUGCUUGCUGUUUUGGUAUCACCAGGUGGUAAAUGAGUUAAUAGACCAAUAACAAAGAGAGUUCGAAACCUCUCUGCCAAUAACAGCUAGUUUUCAGUUUUCCCCUCCCCACUCAGACGACUCCCAGACAGUCCUACCAAAUGUAUUGCUUGAAUAAUGUUUGUGUAUUUUGGACAAUUUUAAUGGAAAACUAUUACAGUAAGUUUCUGAAUUGUUACCCAGAAAUUAUUUGACAUUGAUAUAAAACAGCUUCAUUGGGCCUUUAACUCAAAUGUCCUCUUCAGGCUGUCCUGAGUUCCAGACCUGAGGGAGACUCUAAGCUGCAGGACUUGAGGAGACAAGGUCAGAGUCUGUGUGAAAACCAGGACCUGGAGGAGAGCAGGAGACUAGAGGUUCAGCAGACAGUCAGAGACAUGGAGGAGGAGUGGGGAGAAGUUGUACAAAAGGCUGAGGUGGUGCACAGGUACAGUGACAUUUUAUUGCAUGUAAAGGUGUGUAAUGAAUAAAAAAACGACCGUGUGAAACAACAAUGUUUCCCUGGUGUGUCAGACUGUUGCAAGGUGUGGUGGAACGCCUGGUGUCCUGUCAGUACCAGAAGUGUCAAGCCCAGUCCCGUCUGGCUGAGCUCCAGCAACAGACAGCAGAGCUGCCCCGUCACUUCCCCUGGCCUGGGCUGGGAGACCGGGGGCAGGCUGUGGAGACGGCCAGGACCCUGCUGGAUAAAACCAGGAACCUGGCCCCAGCCCUCUCUGUCCUCCACACCCAGGGCAAGGAAAUGUUCCAGCUUACCCAGGACCCCAGCUGGACAGACCUCUCCUGGGCCACCAUGGAGGAAUGCAUCCCUGCCCUUCUCAAAGAACUGACGGUGGGUGUUAGAUCUCCCCAAUCAUACUGAUCAGUGAUACACUCAUCUGUAGUAUUCGGUGCAUUCGGAAAGUAUUUAGACCACUUGACUUUUUCCCAAAAUCUUUACUAUACAGCCUUAUUCUAAAAUGGAUUUGAUUGUUUUUUUCCCUCAUCAAUCUACACACAAUUCCCCAUAAUGCAAAAGUAUAAAACAUUUAAAACUGAAAUAUCACAUAUACAUAUGUAUUCAGACUAUUGACUCAGUACUUUGUGUGAAAGGCCGUACCUAUUCACUGACGAAAUCCUCGGCGGGACAGCACGAAAUGAGACGCAGAGAUGUGACUUCAACAAAAAAAAGGAAACUAUAUUGGAAGUUCUUGUUUCAACUCUCCCCGGGACCGUACAAACAAAGGCCAGGGUAAUGGCUAUCCAAACAAAACUCCCCAAAAAUAAACUAACAGUUGGUACCCAACACCACUCCAACAGCUUGAGCCGAACCUAUAACAGGGGAUCCUACUAUCCUGGAAUUCGGCAUAGUCUCCGGCUGUUAAUCACUCUGCCCCUUCAGUCAGGUCCUUAAGAGAGCACAAACAAUCAGUCAAUUGGCCUCAGGUGAGCUCGUCAGUAGUGGCUGUACUGCGGCCCACCUCCAGGAGAGGGU